UACGGGGGGGGCAAGCGUUGUUCGGAAUUACUGGGCGUAAAGGGCGCGUAGGCGGUUUGCUAAGUUGAAUGUGAAACUCUGGGCUUAACCCAGAGCCUGCAUUCAAUACUGGCAGGCUAGAGUUCUGGAGGGGAUAGCGGAAUUCCUGGUGUAGCGGUGAAAUGCGCAGAUAUCAGGAGGAACAUCAGCGGCGAAGGCGGCGCUCGUGGGCCGGAACUGACGCUGAGGAGCGAAAGCGUGGGUAGCAAACAGG
rnacentral:rRNA from 1 species